rnacentral:rRNA from 1 species
UCUCCGUUGGUGAACCAGCGGAGGGAUCAUUACCGAGUUAUACAACUCAUCAACCCUGUGAACAUACCUAAAACGUUGCUUCGGCGGGAACAGACGGCCCUGUAACAACGGGCCGCCCCCGCCAGAGGACCCCUAACUCUGUCUUUAUAAUGUUUUUCUGAGUAAACAAGCAAAUAAAUUAAAACUUUCAACAACGGAUCUCUUGGCUCUGGCAUCGAUGAAGAACGCAGCGAAAUGCGAUAAGUAAUGUGAAUUGCAGAAUUCAGUGAAUCAUCGAAUCUUUGAACGCACAUUGCGCCCGCCAGUAUUCUGGCGGGCAUGCCUGUUCGAGCGUCAUUACAACCCUCAGGCCCCCGGGCCUGGCGUUGGGGAUCGGCGGAAGCCCCCUGUGGGCACACGCCGUCCCUCAAAUACAGUGGCGGUCCCGCCGCAGCUUCCAUUGCGUAGUAGCUAACACCUCGCAACUGGAGAGCGGCGCGGCCAUGCCGUAAAACACCCAACUUCUGAAUGUUGACCUCGAAUCAGGUAGGAAUACCCGCUGAACUUAA